rnacentral:lncRNA from 1 species
UUGAAAGUCAGCAAAAGCAAGACUAAGCCUAAGUAGCAUAAAUUAAUGUCUUUUGGAACUUUGCUGUCAUCUGAACAACAAGCAGUUCAAGAAUGUGUUAUGAAUCCUCUGAAAGAAGCAUGCUGUGCAUGUGCAGUCAUGAAUUUAAACAACCGCUGUAGAUGGACCAAUGUGAGGAGGUGGAGCCAAUGUUAG